rnacentral:rRNA from 1 species
CCUACGGGAGGCACCAGUGGGGAAUAUUGGACAAUGGCGAAAGCCUGAUCCAGCAAUGCCGCGUGUGUGAAGAAGGUCUUCGGAUGUAAAGCACUUUCGACGGGGACGAUGAUGACGGUACCCGUAGAAGAAGCCCCGGCUAACUUCGUGCCAGCAGCCGCGGUAAUACGAAGGGGGCUAGCGUUGUUCGGAAUUACUGGGCGUAAAGCGCGCGUAGGCGGAUAGAUAGGUCAGAGGUGAAAUCCCGGGGCUCAGCCCCGGAAUUGCCUUUGAUACUGUUUAUCUUGAGUGCAGAAGAGGUAAGUGGAAUUCCGAGUGUGGAGGUGAAAUUCGUAGAUAUUCGGAGGGACACCAGUGGCGAAGGCGGCUUACUGGUCUGCAACUGACGCUGAGGCGCGCAAGCGUGGGGAGCAAACAGGAUUAGAUACCCGUGUAGUC